CUCACGAACUUUUUAAGUUUACACCAAAAAAUAUUAUUAAAUUUUUAUCUUAUAAUAGAAUCUGGAAAAAAGUUAUUUACUAUAUGAUGUAUAUUUUUUUAACAUUAAAACUUGUCUGAGACGUUAUAAACUUAAAAAUUAAAUAGCUCUCUCUCUCAGCGCGAGACUAGAUCGCAAACUCAUCCCAUAAUCCCACUUAGGGUAAGAUGAAAGGACCGAUCUGAAGCUAGCCGGAAUCCCCACAACACUAACAACCAGCAUUCAUGAAAUCCUCGUACGGGGGUCGUUUGUUGGUUGCGUCAGGAUAUAAAUACAGUUUUCACAAGCGUUCCGGUGUGAAAAUAAGGUGGCGCUGUGCGACACAUCAUCGGAGACAAUGCAAAGCAUAUGCCCACUCGUCGUUGAUAGGAGAUGAGAUACUAAAAGUGAGCAACACUCAUGUGCAUCCACCAAAUAUGUAUUAUACUGAUGGAUCGUGGACUGAGAGAAGAAAGAGAAGACCUUCGAAGUUGAAAGGAACUGCCUAGAUAGAAUUAAAUACAGAUGAUUGAAGGCAAGAGUCACGGGUUUCAAUAUGUUCAACAUCAAUAUAGCCAAGCAUUUUAAAUACCAGUCGAAGCCACGUAAACAACAUGCCAAAAAACAAAGCUGAUUCAUACACUCGCAUGUCUAAAAAUGAUGAACUUCAUAACGUCAUAAUAUAUUUUAUCUUCAUUGGAAAAGUUUAGUUACUGUUUAGGCCAGCUUUGCUCCGCGACCCAAAAUUACCCAAAUACAGUAAAUGAUUUGAAGGCAGGAGCGUGGCUACUUUGGAAAGCACGUUUUCCUGGAGAUGAGACGGUAGAUGACGAAAUCGGGACUUCGUCAAAAAUACCUUAAUAGCAAUAAAGUACAUGAAAUAUAUAUAAAUAAAAGCAUUGCUCUUUUCAUAGUGGUUUCAAUACUAAUUGAUGAUUCAACAAAAAACAGACUAUUUAAAAAAUCAAUAGAGUUUAAGAUCUUUAACACACUACAAACAUAUUAAUACAAAAUUAAAUUUCAAAAAAUGUUAACCGCUCCUAGCAUUUCAAGGAAUAGUUUGGUCAUCUAAAGACAAUCGAUGAAAGAUUGGAAGAUGGAGAAGGACAAAAUAUGAAAGGCCGAAAAUGUACAAUGAGAUGAGACCUCGUAAGAUACGCAAAGAUCGCUGUAACUUGUGGGUAAUCGCAAUCCACUAUAAGAUAUUAACUACCUGCAAUAAUUUAAUAUAGUGAUCAAAAAUGACAUCACCAUCAUCAUCAGCCGGAAGACGUCUGCUGGACAAAGGCCUCCCCCAAAGAUUUUCACGACCAUCGGUCCUGCGGUGCCGUAUUUAUCCAACGUAUUUCGGCGACCUUGACCAGAUCGUCAGUACUAGAUGGUGUGGGGGGCCUACCAACACUGCGGCUUCCGGUACGUGGUUGCCCCUACGGGCAUCUGUCCGCCAAACUAUGUGCCCUGCCCACUGCCACUUCAGAAUGACAUGCAAUCGUAAUAAUUUUGAACCAUAUCUUUGAGAACCUGUUUUUAUGAAGAGCCUCCGUGGUGCUGAUAUGAUAGCCUACAAGGGAUACAGUUUCUUGAAGCACAGAACGAGCGGCGCGAAGGUGAGGUGGUGGUGUCGGAGAGUUCAAGGUGGCUGCAAGGCGUGUAUCUACACCUUCGACACCAUCAUUGUGAGGAUUA